rnacentral:lncRNA from 1 species
UUUUAACAAUGUAUACAAGUGCUAGUCUCCAGACUUAUGAAUAAGUCUGAUAUUAUUUGGUUCUUUUCUUCUCAGACAGAUUUAAGUUCAGAAUCACUGGAAGGGGACCUGCUCUCUCAUCAAGCACAGCUUUGCUUGCCGGUCUAGGGAAGAGACGGUCCUGCUUUGCUCUGUGCUGUGUGGCCUCACCUCAAGUCGUGUGUGCAGUUUUGAGUGCCACAGUUUAAGAAGGACAUAAAACUAUUAGAAAGCGUCCAAAGGAGGACAAAAAAUAUGGUGACGGGUCUAGAAAGCAAGACGUACAAGGAGUGGCUGAAGUCACUCAGUUUGUUCAGCCCAGAGCAGGCCUCAUGGCAGCCUGCAGCUCCCUCACGAGGGGUGUGGAGGGGCAGGCGCUGAGGUCUGCUCCCUGGGGACAGCGACAGGGCCCAAGCAAUACCAUGAGGCUGUGACAGGGAGGUUCAGGUUGGAUAUUACAUAAAGGUUCUUCACCAAAAAGGUGGUCAGGCACUGGAACAGGCUCCCCACGAGGCUAGUGGUGACGUCACUGAGCCUGCCAGAGUUCAAGAAGUGUUUGUCCAAGGCUAACAGACACACAGUUUGAUUUUUGGGUGGUCCUAUGUGGAGCCAGAAGUUGGACUCAAUGAUCCUUUUGGGUCCUUUCCAACUCAGGAUAUUCUAUGAUUCUAUGAUCCUCUCUGUGCAUUGUCCCUUCUUUUCCAGGUGGAACACAGAAAAAACAGAUAAGGAGGACACACAGUGUACAAAUACUGGGAAUCCCAGAGGGGGAGGAAGGUAAGAAGCUACCAUAUAUCCUACAUUAUGCUACAAAGAACAACUCACUGUAUAUUGAGAGCUUAUCAUGUUGCUGUGAAAAGGGCACCAUAGGAGACCAGCAACUGCAGAACUACUCUCCUAAAGUUAAUGGACUUGGGGGGUCAAGGGAAGAGUAUUUUUGUCUGCACAAAGCAUCAAGGACAUUUAGUUUAAUAAGUGGCAAAUUUUGAUUUUUUUUUUCCCAGUGCUGGGCCCUGCACUCAGCAAAAUUGUGCUCUUCAGUGCCCAGAAAACAUGCUUUCCAAG